CCUACGGGGUGCUGCAGUGGGGGAUAUUGCACAAUGGGGGGAACCCUGAUGCAGCGACGCCGCGUGGGUGAAGGAGUGCUUCGGCAUGUAAAGCCCUAUCGGCAGGGAAGAAGCAAGACGGUACCUGACUAAGAAGCCCCGGCUAACUACGUGCCAGCAGCCGCGGUAAUACGUAGGGGGCGAGCGUUAUCCGGAUUCACUGGGUGUAAAGGGAGCGUAGACGGCCAUGCAAGCCAGGGGUGAAAGCCCGGGGCCCAACCCCGGGACUGCCCUUGGAACUGUGCGGCUAGAGUGCGGGAGGGGCAGGCGGAAUUCCUGGGGUAGCGGUGAAAUGCGUAGAUAGCAGGAGGAACACCGGCGGCGAAGGCGGCCUGCUGGACUGCGACUGACGUUGAGGCUCGAAAGCGUGGGGAGCGAACAGGAUUAGAUACCCGGGUAGUC
rnacentral:rRNA from 1 species